GAUGGAGCGUACUUCGUCGGGUUGAAAGUCCUUCAUUCUACUGAGAAUGCAACAUUCUCGUAUGGCUUCUGCAUCCCACGACUUGAAGUAAUUGAAAUGGACCAGUGCAUCCUGCAGGACAUCCCAUUCUUCCAUCAAAUAGCAACGCAAAGUCUCGUCGAACUUGUCGCGAGGGGAAAAGGAGUGGUAACUGGUUAAUAACUGCCUCGUUAAAUAGCGAUAGGAAAAAUGAACUGCAGUUGGAAAUGAAAUGACUAGAUUCUUAUGAACCUCUAGGGUUCUUCUGUUAACCACUCGAUGAACUCCAGGACGAGCCUGACAGUUGCUCGGAAGAGGUAGAUUCCUCUCAGUCUGGCAAGGUACACCAGAAUCAUGGUGGAAGCAACAAUUGGACUCACCGCAACGCACGACCACGAGGCAACGGACAAAACAAGUAUUAACAACACUUUUGCAAGAAGAGACUGCAUUGCAACCAUUUAAUCCGAAGCAGCUUGGU